UAACGAUUGAAGCGGCAUCCUUUUUGUUCCAAAAAGAUAUAGCGUAAAGCGUGUUAAAAC
rnacentral:sRNA from 1 species